GACGAACGCUGGCGGCGUGCUUAACACAUGCAAGUCGAACGGAAAGGCCCUGCUUUUUUGGGGUGCUCGAGUGGCGAACGGGUGAGUAACACGUGAGUAACCUGCCCUUCACUUUGGGAUAACUUCAGGAAACUGGGGCUAAUCCCGGCUAGGAGCUCUUGCUGCUGGGUGGGGGUGGGAAAGUUUCGCCGGUUGGUGAUGGACUCGCGUCUUAUCAGCUUGUUGGUGGGGUAGUGGCUUACCAAGGCUUUGACGGGUAGCCGGCCUGAGAGGGUGACAGGCCACAUGGGGACUGAGCUACGGCCCAGACUCCUACGGGAGGAAGAAGUGGGGAAUAUUGCACAAUGGGAGGAAGCAUGAUGCAGCAACGCCGCGUGCGGGAUGACGGCAUUCGGGUUGUAAACCGCUUUCGCCUGUGACGAAGCGUGAGUGACGGUAAUGGGUAAAGAAGCACCGGCUAACUACGUG
rnacentral:rRNA from 1 species